GACGUGACCAUGUGCGAAUUUAAUGAACCUGGGACGCUCGCUGCGAUCGGGGUCUACCUCGGUGGCACCAAGCACGCGGUGAUUGGAGGUGAACCAGGUGCUGUUAUUCGGGUGAACCGGUUACUCGGGCAAAGAAGGAUCCAAGAAGAAGAUGGAGUGGGAAGUUUACUAUGAAGAUUACUUGAUGUUCAAGACGAAGAGCAUGAAUGAAGACGGCACGUAUCGAGCCGCUGCCAUCAUCGACCACGACGGGAAAGUUUGGACCCAGACCUCCAAUUUCCCCCAGGCUCGUCCUCUGCUCAUCAUCAUCUUCCAUCUUCUUCAAUUUCGAUUCUUGCUGCCUGUGGUAUCCAGUCGUGAAUUCUCUUAUUGCGGUGGACGAGUAAUUAGUCACUCCCCACGUUAAUCUCGGUUCCCAGUUCUGGUUUUCUUUUAUCAUGAACAUGGCGUGACUUACAGCGCCCAUUCCUGUGAGCGAUUUGAUCAAACAGGGGAAAUGCAACAUUUGAUCACUUGCGAAACCAUGAUUGCUCUUCUUUCGCUUGAUAGAACCUCUUUGUUAUUUGUUGGAUGCAUGUAAACGAUUUGAUAAUAAGGGGUAAAUUCAAAUUGGACGGUAUUCGGAAUUA